AUCUUCUUUUUAUAAGCUGUAGAAUCUGUAAAUAAAAAAAAAAUCUAUAAUAUCAAAUAAAUUAUAUAAUCAUAAUAAAAACUUUUAUAAAUAUGUUAAUUUUGAAUUUGAGUGUUUUUAAAUUAUUAAGAUAUUUAAAUAAUAUAAAUAUUAUUUACAUAUCACAUUUUAAAUUACAAUAAAUUCUGAUAAUUUAUUAAAAAAAUAUUAAUAUAAAUUAUUUUAAUUGAUAUAUAAAAUAAUAAUUUUAUAUAUACAACGCAUAUUUCAUAUAUUUUAUUUUAAAAUAUCUACAACCUACAGCUUACAGCUACAACAAAUUUAACUACAUCAAAAGUCUCUGCAGAAAAAGUCUACAGUAAUAACUUUACAGCUACAACCGAUUUAUCUACAGUUAAACAUCUACAACUAAAAUUUUUAAAGCCACAGUCGAACCAUUCAUCACGAUUCACAUAUUUGCAUAGAUAUAUGUGAUAGAUGAAUAACUAUAUUUUUAUUAUCACUAAAUAAUAUAUAUUUAUUAUAUAAUAUAAAAAUGAAAUUAUUUAUUUUGACCAAUUCGAUUUUUUUUCUUUUGAAUAUUCCAUUUAAGACAUAUCUCAGUUUCUGUCUCCCCUGUUUUUGUUUAAAGAAAAUAAAAUAAAAAGAAAGUCCUUUUCAAAGUCUAUCUGUAAAUGGCUAUGCAUUCGACUACAACUCUUUGAAAGCUUUUGUAGUGUUUUAAUUCUUCUUCUUCUACUUCUUUAUUCUCUCUCUCUCUCAUUUCCUUCUCUCACUUUCAACUCCUCUCUCAUUGAUUGAUACACUCUCUUAAAAGACUUCACACACAUCGUUUUAUUCGAGCUGGCUUCUUCUUCUUCUUCCUUCUUCAGGUGGACUCUCAUUCAAACUCUAGUCAUUCUGUUGGAUUCAUCAUUCUUCUGAAGUACCUGAGCUUUGAUCGAUUCUUGAACACAAAGAGCUCAAAUAAUCUUCUUUGAUGGUUUCUUAUUCAAGACGCCUAGCUAUAUUAGAUUAGCUUCGAUGGAUUGAUAGGGCAGCAGCAGCAUUUAUGGGGAAAACAUGUCUUCAUCUUCCUCAGCAGCUUUCUUCUCAGCUAACCAAUCUCCCUUUUUCUCCCCAAGAUCUCUCAAACCCCAAGACCACUCCGAAUCAACUCGCUCCGAUCCACAAUGCGACAGCUUCGAUCCCCUCACCUCCAGCUCUGACCUCGUGUUUCAGAAUCUCGAGCCUUCGAGUAGCGUGAUCCCAUGAUUCCCAAGAGGAGGGCAUGACUCGUCUUCCUACACUCAGACAUCUUCAGUCUCGGUCUCUUACAACAGGGUGAGAUGCUGCGACGUGUUCUUAGGCCUUCACGGUAACAAACCUUCCCUCCUUCGGUUCGCUGAUUGGUUAAGAUUUGGAGAAGACGAACAGGAUGGGAGGCAUUGUCUUGUGUCAACCUUACAAACCAAUAAGGUUUAGAGAAGACGAAGUGGCAGAGGAUUGAGCCUCGACAUCUCACGUCAUAGAUUUAGGUUUGGGUCUUAGUUUUAGGUUUCUAAGUUAAGUGAAAACAAAGCCCAAAUACAAACAAAUAAAACCCAAAAAGAAAAUGAAAUGUUGUGAUUGGUUGAAUAUAAUUGCUGAUGUGGAUAGCCUAAUUGCUCAGCAUAUUCCCCUUUUAGUAUUGUGAUACCAGAUAAAAUAAUAAAAUGAUUGUUUUGAUUUACUUACCAAACAAAUAUUGUCAAUAAAUAAGAUAUAUAUUAUUUUUAUU